rnacentral:rRNA from 1 species
GACGAACGCUGGCGGCGUGCUUAACACAUGCAAGUCGAACGGAAAGGCCCUGCUUUUGUGGGGUGCUCGAGUGGCGAACGGGUGAGUAACACGUGAGUAACCUGCCCUUGACUUUGGGAUAACUUCAGGAAACUGGGGCUAAUACCGGAUAGGAGCUCCUGCUGCAUGGUGGGGGUUGGAAAGUUUCGGCGGUUGGGGAUGGACUCGCGGCUUAUCAGCUUGUUGGUGGGGUAGUGGCUUACCAAGGCUUUGACGGGUAGCCGGCCUGAGAGGGUGACCGGCCACAUUGGAACUGAGAUACGGCCCGGACUCCUACGGAAGGCAGCAGUGGGGAAUAUUGCACAAUGGGCGGAAGCCUGAUGCAGCAACGCCGCGUGCGGGAUGACGGCCUUCGGGUUGUAAACCGCUUUCGCCUGUGACGAAGCGUGAGUGACGGUAAUGUGUAAAGAAGCACCGGCUAACUACGUG